rnacentral:rRNA from 1 species
GUAGGUGGCAAGCGUUGUCCGGAAUUAUUGGGCGUAAAGCGCGCGCAGGCGGUUCUUUAAGUCUGAUGUGAAAGCCCACGGCUCAACCGUGGAGGGUCAUUGGAAACUGGAGAACUUGAGUACAGAAGAGGAAAGCGGAAUUCCACGUGUAGCGGUGAAAUGCGUAGAGAUGUGGAGGAACACCAGUGGCGAAGGCGGCUUUCUGGUCUGUAACUGACGCUGAGGCGCGAAAGCGUGGGGAGCAAACAGGGAUUAGAUACCCUGGUAGUCCACGCCGUAAACGAUGAGUGCUAAGUGUUAGGGGGGUUUCCGCCCCCUUAGUGCUGCAGCUAACGCAUUAAGCACUCCGCCGUGGGGAGUACGGCCGCAAGGCUG